rnacentral:rRNA from 1 species
UAGGGAACCUUCCACAAUGGACGAAAGUCUGAUGGAGCAACGCCGCGUGAGUGAUGAAGGGUUUCGGCUCGUAAAACUCUGUUGUUGGAGAAGAACGGGUGUCAGAGUAACUGUUGACAUCGUGACGGUAUCCAACCAGAAAGCCACGGCUAACUACGUGCCAGCAGCCGCGGUAAUACGUAGGUGGCAAGCGUUGUCCGGAUUUAUUGGGCGUAAAGCGAGCGCAGGCGGUUUUUUAGGUCUGAUGUGAAAGCCUUCGGCUUAACCGGAGAAGUGCAUCGGAAACCGGGAGACUUGAGUGCAGAAGAGGACAGUGGAACUCCAUGUGUAGCGGUGAAAUGCGUAGAUAUAUGGAAGAACACCAGCGGCGAAGGCGGCUGUCUGGUCUGCAACUGACGCUGAGGCUCGAAAAGCAUGGGUAGCGAACAGGAUUAGAUACCCUGGUAGUCCAUGCCGUAAAACGAUGAGUGCUAAGUGUUGGAGGGUUUCCGCCCUUCAGUGCUGCAGCUAACGCAUUAAGCACUCCGCCUGGGGAGUACGACCGCAAGGUUGAAAC